AGAGUUUGAUCAUGGCUCAGAUUGAACGCUGGCGGCAUGCUUUACACAUGCAAGUCGAACGGUAGGGUAGCAAUACCUGAGAGUGGCGAACGGGUGAGUAAUGCAUCGGAACAUGCCUAUUUGUGGGGGAUAGCCCGGCGAAAGCCGGAUUAAUACCGCAUACGAUCUACGGAUGAAAGCUGGGGACCGCAAGGCCUAGCGCAAAUAGAGUGGCCGAUGUCAGAUUAGCUAGUUGGUGGGGUAAAGGCCCACCAAGGCAACGAUCUGUAGCUGGUUUGAGAGAACGACCAGCCACACUGGGACUGAGACACGGCCCAGACUCCUACGGGAGGCAGCAGUGGGGAAUUUUGGACAAUGGGCGCAAGCCUGAUCCAGCAAUGCCGCGUGCAGGAUGAAGGCCUUCGGGUUGUAAACUGCUUUUGUACGGAACGAAACGGCUCUGGUUAAUACCCGGGGCUAAUGACGGUACCGUAAGAAUAGACAGAAUUUCGCG
rnacentral:rRNA from 1 species